ACCUACCAAAUCAUAAUAAAUAUCUAUAUAUUUGGAGAUAGAGAUGAAAACCAUGUGGCUGUAUCCAGUUGGAGUGAAAAAUAUGAACUAUGAAGAAAGAAGGAGUUCUGCUUCUUCCAAAGGAGUGACUCCCAAAGGAACAAGAAUUGACCAUAGGUUAUGGCUUGUGUUACAAUACACCGAUGUUGUCUUUGAGGCCAUCCACUGACGUCCUCACCCAUGGCAUAAGCAAGUUUUUCUGAAGGAAGAAGCAGCAGAAUAAAUUGGAUACUUAAUGAUUGUCUACCCCUUCAAGCUAAUGUGCAUAAGAUUAACACUACUCCAUUU
rnacentral:lncRNA from 1 species